GCGCGUGUGGCGGAAUUGGCAGACGCACUAGACUUAGGAUCUAGCGUCUCUGACGUGGGGGUUCAAGUCCCUCCACGCGCACCA
rnacentral:tRNA from 5 species